ACCAUCUACAUUCUUACCAUGACUGUGAGACUGAUACUGCCCACAACGAUACCAGUACUGAGUGAUGAAGAACAUUUUGCUAAGUUGUUCUAUCGUGGUCCUUGCUUAAGGGGAUUGUUGGACGGAUGUUGUGGGAACUGAACUUGAAGAAGGAAGAGCCCAUCAUUUGGACACAUCUUAGGGCUUCCCAGCUGCACCAGGUUAUGGACAAGGGACCUGGAACCCCAACCCUUCCAGUCACUAACCACAUGGCCUGAGAUGUCAUUUCAUGCAGCUGGGCUCUUUGUGCUCAUCAGCAAGUGAUGUAAAUAAAGCAUGUGAGGUUAGCACACCGUAUAUUCUCAAA